AUUUGUUUUACUAUUGAGCCAACAGAUGGCGAAACUGUUUCGAUCUGUUUGUUUACUUUUUGUUUUUUGAUUUUUUUUUGUUCAUCUUCAAUUGUUAUGAUAAUUAAGUGAAUUUUAAUUGUGUCAUUCACAAUUAAUUAAUCAGGAUAAGAUGGAUUACAACAGUAUGGAUACAAUACCGGACGGUACCUGAUAGGUCAAGAUGAGAGUUAUUUGUUUACCAUGACGAGAGAAGGUAAAUUUUCAGGAAAUCCGAAAAUACCGUUAACUUUGUUUCUUACCUGUUGGUGAAAUUUUGAUUGAAUAAUUAAUAUCUGAAUCUCGUAAUCGAUUAUCAGCAAUUUAAAAGGAUGAAGUGAAAUCGAAGUGAACUGUUCUGGUGAUCGAUGGUGCCCUUGGGCGUUGAAUUGCUGGGAAAAAAUGGCGACUCAAAAACGAUUCUGUUAAUGGUCAUUUUUUUUACUUUUCCGUUGAUCGUAUUUGAUUUAAGAAACUGGGACUAUUACGAUCUUGUGAAAUCUUCAAUCAGAAACUUGGUAACAAAUCGAAAGGUGCUAACAAAACGAACCAUGAUGAUGAACUUAAACUUGUAUUCCAAAGUGUGAACAAUGAUUACAAUGAAAUGUUUCACAAUUAAAGCAUCACUGAAUCUCUAUUUGUCUGAUUAACUGUUAUUGUUACAGUUACUCUUUACUAUUGAAUAUCAAAAGACAUUGGAACAAUUCAAUAAGUUGAUAAUAAUGGUGUUGAUGAUCAUCAUGAUGACGGUUUUUCUGGUGGUUUUCUUAAUUUAAUUCUAAUUUUUGUUUAAUCUCAACGGUUCAAAGAUUCAAUUGAACAAUUCAAAAAAAAGACUCCUCUUUUUUGAUGGUCGUUUUUAAUUGUUAUACAUUAUUGGAAAAGAAAGAGAGAAUCAUCUUCAUUGAUAAUAAUACAUAUUCUCACCCUGAUGAUAAACUCACCUUUUGAUUGUGGUUUAAAAUAAUUGGUUUAAUUAGUAUCAUGCCAAGUGAAAGAAAAGGAGAAAACAAAAACAAAUCAACAAUAAUAGAUCAACAAUCAAAGGAGAGGAGGAAGAAAUUAAAAAGAUUCUGGAAAAGAUCAACAAUUCAACAACUACUCAUCUACCUCAUGGUGAUUGGAUAUCCUUUCAGAUGAACAUUAUCAUUGAUUUAUUCCUAUUCAAAUCAAUACCUUUUCCAUGGUACAACGAUAAUCAACAAUUGGUGGAAAUUAAAAUACAAGAAUCAAGGUGGAGAUGGAGUGUUUUUUUUUAUUCUGUCUAGUUCAGAAUAUCCUUUUUCUUGGUGGUACUUUUUUUCUGAGUUACUAUUCACCUCUUAUUUAGAUGUUGACAUUACAAGUAUCGAGGGAGUUUAUGUUAGUUGGUAAUGUGAUGGAUUCUGAUGAUGGAAGGAGCAAAAUUUAUCGUUAAAUCGAUGAUCAGUGAGACAGAAACUCGUUGACCUGCAAUUUUAUUCAUUGACUAUUCUAAUGAACACCAUCGAUGCAUUAACCCAAUACAUUUUGGAGACUGACAGUUGUAUAAAUAUCCACUCGAUAAACAAUCAAAUCCAACGUUAACCUGAUUAAUUCAACGCUUACCAUCAUCAUGUUUACCCGAAUUCUGGUCAAGGGUCAUUUGGAAAGUUCCAACUCUCUUUCUUUCUUUCUUUCUUUCUCUUUCAGUACAGUUGGAAAGGAUUAAUGAAGCCGAAAGAUUAUCGGAAGAAACGAAGAGAAAAUGUCAAUUGUUAUUGUCAAUAAUUGGAAUUAAAUCAAAGGGAAAAUUUUAAGUUUUCCGGUUUUUUUUCUUCGUUUUUCAAUCAUCGAAAUGAUUACAUGGUGUGAAUAUCACCAUGAUAGAAUAGAAAACAAUUAACUUGUUAAUUUGUUUUCUCUCACUUCGCCUGAUGAAAUGGGAAGGAAAUGAAAAGAGGCUGAUGGUCAAUUGAAAAUAGAGAAUCUUUAAUUAUGCAAAUUUCAUGAUUGAUUCAACAAUCAAAACCAAGAUUGGCAGAAGAAGAUGGAAAUUUAAAAGUAUUAAUAGUUACAAUGCUUUCCCUUGGUUUACCUGGAUUUGGAUUAAUCUAUGACAAUAGUAAUAGUAAUUAUCUCCAAUCUUGAAGGGAUAAAGAUUAAUGGUUCAAAUCUAUUGAAUGAGUUGUCGAUUUUGUCCCAAUUUUAUUGUUCGUUAAGGAUUAUCGGGUAUCCAUUGCCUGUGGUCACUUUGAUUGCAACAAAUUCAAAGACUGUGGUCAACUUGUUUUUAUACAUUAAUUGUGAACUACGAAUUGAUUAAUUAUGAUUGUUGGCAUUAUUUUUUUUCUUCAUUUACUUAUCAAAUCUUUUAAUUCACUAAAUAUUGGUCAAGUGUUUAUGGUGAUUAGGAUGAAUUGGUGGUGUUGAUUGUUGGUUUUCUUGAAUGAAAUUGAAAUGAUUACGAAUGAAACAACGAAUGAUUUACUUUCAAGAUCCGUUUGGUGAACUUUUUUUAGUCAAUGUUUCAUAAUUACUUCCAGGACUGACCAGUGUCCAAUCACCGACAACGAGGAGGCCAUCGAUGGAUCUAUUCAGUGUGUUAGAAACCGAAAUCUGUAGAUAAAUUAUUGAUAUAUUUCGUUGGCGUUGAUUUGGUGUUUAUUUUAGUUCGUUCAAAAUUGUAUCAACAACAAAAAGUAAAAACAUUUCCAAUAACAAAUCAAUCAAAGUUAAUCAACAUCAAUCAAAUGAACGGAUAAUCAGUGAUCGCGCAAUCAAUUCUCAGCUAGAAUAUUCUCUCAGGUAUUGAAUGAUAUGUCUAUUUCAUGGAAAGUUCAGUGGAAAAACGAAAUAAUAAUGAAAAUAACAAUUUCGAUUCGCUGGAUUUUUCAAGUUGAGAAAAUCUUUCGGAUAAAUAGAUUGAGUUUCGGAAUUUUAAUUUCUCUAUCAGGUAUUCAUAUUUAUCGGUAAUACUUAGAUAUUGAUAAAUCAUUCGAUACCUGAGAGAAUGAUCUGAAUUGUUCAGAAAGUAUCUUGAAGAUCAUGUAAUCAACUUGGAAACCAAAACGUUUUCUCAAUGAUAAUCAUAACAACAAACCUUAUUCAUGGGCCGUUGAGUCCGAGAAAAGUGACCUGUGUUAACGGGAAUGGCCUCACAUGGUGGACAGACAGUGAUAACACCAC